GCUCCGGGCAAAGCUCAGCCGUGGCUGUAACAGGUUCCAGGCACCACUAGGCACCUUGUACAGACGGAGGAGGGACAGCGCAUGGCCCCAAGGCCCCACCACCCAGGGUCACAUGAGCUGCCCCCCCUCCCCGCCCCUCAUAUUCACUCCACCCCCCUCAAAUCACUCCUCACCAGGCCUAUCAAGUCCCCAGAGGUGCUCAAGGGAGGGAGGGGAGAAAGAGAGCGAGAGCACAUGGGGGGCUGGGGGGCGGGUACAGAGGGAGGGAGGCCCAGGGGAGGGCAGAGGGAGAGAAGCCCGAGGGCUCUGCUCUGGGUGCAGAGCGGUCCCGGGGCCCUCUCCCCACCUGAGACCAUGACCUGAGCCCAAAUUAAGAAUCAGAUGCUCGGCUCCCCAGUUCAGUCCCUACCAAGCUGGUUAGCCCCCGGGGGCGGGGGGGGGGUGCUGCUGCCUCUGCUGCCUCCACCGCCCCCACCCAGGGGCCCGGGGGCCAGGCGCCUGCAGGGUCUCGCAGGUGUUGGGUGCGGGGUCCGAGCUGCACCCUUUGUGGGAACUGGCCGCGAGCCCACCUCUUAUGAAUACCCAGAAACGCACCUUUUAUUGCUCAAUGUUUUCCCUUUUGCAACUCCUCGGUGCACCCCUGUCAUUGGCACGUCCACACCGGGAGGCCAGGCCUCUGUGACCCGGUCCCGGACCAGGCAGUUUCCUAGCGGAGCACACCGGCUCGGGGGUGCCGUCCUCCCAGUCGGGUGGCCCAGGAGCCGCUGCCCAGGAGCAUCUAAGGGCAGACACAGUCACAUCAUCCCCACCCAGAGGCUCCCAAAACUGCCCACUUUUCACCCAGUGAAGUUCCUUCCCCUUAACCUGGCUCCCAGGCGCCCUUGCAGACGCGUCUCUCCCCACUGGCUUCCAGGCGAUCUGCGCUGCGGGCUGGGGGGUCUGCGUCCCACACAGGCCUUUACUGUCACCCCUGUUGAAUUCCUUGCUGCAAGCCACCCGAGCCGCGUGGGCUACCGCGGGAGCAAAGAAACGUGCUGGAAAGAUGUAGGGAAGAACCUGAAGAGCAAGGCCCAGAAAGUGCAGGAACCGGAGCUCCUCCGGGGAGAGGGCGGCCCAGAGGCAGGACCUGCUGGACAAUCCCUUCAGCACACAGCCAAGACCCCAACUGGAAGAGCAAGGGGCGUCACAGAAGUUCCGAGAACAUUCCGUGGUCGUGAGGCAAUUGGGUCCAGCUCUGUUCUUUUGUAG
rnacentral:lncRNA from 1 species